UGUGAUCCCGGAUAUUAUGGAGAAAAAUGUCUGACACCAUGUACGUUUGGAAGGUAUGGCGAAGGCUGUAAGGGAAUAUGUGGUCACUGUGAAAGCAAUAAAACUUGUAAUUAUGUCAAUGGAUCCUGUUCCGGGCUAUGUGAACCUGGAUAUCAUGGGGAGAACUGCCUAACAAAAUACAAGGAUGGCUGGUUUGGCAAAGAAUGUAAUGGGGUAUGUGGUUACUGUAGAGGUAACAAACCAUGCCAUCACGUGACCGGAUCUUGUUCUGGAUUAUGUGAACCUGGAUUCCAUGGGGAGAAUUGU